GGGGCCACCAUCCCUCCAGGUGUGCAGGUCAAAAGCCUGGGAGUGAUUCCUGGCACCUCUUUUUCAGCACCCCCCAUCCCCUAGGCCAUGGCCAAGGCUUGUGAUUUACCUCUGGAAAAGCGGUGGCAUCCAUUGUGCCUUCCCCUCCCUGACACCUGCACCCUCAUUCCAGCCACCACCGCGUCUGUCUGGACCGAGGUGCCCCAUUGGCCUCUUGAAUCUGCUGUCACCGCCCCCUGCAGCCAUUUCUCUACUCAGUGGCCAUGCCCCCAUAGCAAAGCACCAGUUGGUUUGGUCUCUUUCCCCCACCACCCUGCUCCUGGGGCAGAGACCGAAACCCUUAAGCCUGCCUAGGGCCUGUGCAGUCUGGCCCUGCCGGCCUCUCCCGCUGGUCAGGCACCACGUCCGCACCCAGCCUUUGGGACUCUCCCAGGCUUCCAGUCCAUUCCUCAGAGUGUCAACGGAGGGUUGCCCCGCAGGGAAGUGACACCACCUGUGCCCAGCAUCCUUCAUUCGUCUGCCUCCGCAGAGACAAGUCUCUUUCCGUGAGAGCAAAUGUAUUCAUUUGCAGGGAUACAUUUUGUUGUGUGAGGUUAUUUUGUUGCUGUCUGUCAUCCCAUUUACAGUGUGUGCUCCUGGAGGGAUAGGCCGUGUCUCUUUGUGCUUCCUAUUGUACCCUCAGUGCUGAUUAAACCGAUAUGAGAACGGA